GUUGUAUAGUCAAGUAAUUAAGUGCAUGUGGUGGAUGCCUUGGCAGUCAGAGGCGAUGAAAGACGUGAUAGCCUGCGAAAAGCUCCGGGGAGGCGGCAAAUAUCCUUUGAUCCGGAGAUGUCUGAAUGGGGGAACCCACCUACUUUAAGGUAGGUAUUGCAACAUGAAUACAUAGUGUUGCAAGGCGAACGAGGGGAAGUGAAACAUCUCAGUACCCUUAGGAAAAGAAAUCAAUUGAGAGUCCCUCAGUAGCGGCGAGCGAACGGGGAUCAGCCCAUUAAGUUAUGUGUGU
rnacentral:rRNA from 1 species